GACGUAGGGGGCGAGCGUUGUCCGGAUUCAUUGGGCGUAAAGCGCGCGUAGGCGGCCCGGUAAGUCGGAUGUGAAAUCUCACGGCUCAACCGUGGAACUGCAUUCGAAACUGUCGGGCUAGAGGCAGGUAGGGGAGAUCGGAAUUCACGGUGUAGCAGUGAAAUGCGUAGAUAUCGUGAGGAAGACCAGUGGCGAAGGCGGAUCUCUGGACAGUUCCUGACGCUGAGGCGCGAAGGCCAGGGGAGCAAACGGG
rnacentral:rRNA from 1 species